rnacentral:rRNA from 1 species
GGAAUUUUGGGCAAUGGGCGCAAGCCUGACCCAGCAACGCCGCGUGAGGGAUGAAGGCCUUCGGGUCGUAAACCUCUGUCGGGAGGGAAGAACGGGCCGCAGUCGAAUAGGCUGCGGUCUUGACGGUACCUCCAAAGGAAGCGCCGGCUAACUCCGUGCCCGCCGCCGCGGUAAUACGGAGGGCGCAAGCGUUGUUCGGAAUCAUUGGGCGUAAAGCGGGUGUAGGCGGCUUGGCAAGUCGGUUGUGAAAUCCCUGGGCUCAACCCAGGAACUGCAGCCGAAACUGCCUCGCUAGAGUCCCGGAGAGGGUGGCAGAAUUCCCGGUGUAGAGGUGAAAUUCGUAGAUAUCGGGAGGAAUACCAGUGGCGAAGGCGGCCACCUGGACGGUGACUGACGCUCAGACCCGAAAGCGUGGGGAGCAAAC